UACGUAGGGGGCAAGCGUUGUCCGGAAUCAUUGGGCGUAAAGCGCGCGUAGGCGGCCCGGUAAGUCCGCUGUAAAAGUCCAGGGCUCAACCCUGGAAAGCCGGUGGAUACUGUCGGGCUAGAGUCCGGAAGAGGCGAGUGGAAUUCCUGGUGUAGCGGUGGAAUGCGCAGAUAUCAGGAGGAACACCGAUGGCGAAGGCAGCUCGCUGGGACGGUACUGACGCUGAGGCGCGAAGGCCAGGGGAGCAAACGGG
rnacentral:rRNA from 1 species